rnacentral:rRNA from 1 species
UACGUAGGGGGCAAGCGUUGUCCGGAUUAUUGGGCGUAAAGAGCGUGUAGGCGGCUAGGUAGGUCCGUUGUGAAAACUCGAGGCUCAACCUCGAGACGUCGAUGGAAACCAUCUAGCUAGAGUCCGGAAGAGGAGAGUGGAAUUCCUGGUGUAGCGGUGAAAUGCGCAGAUAUCAGGAAGAACACCCGUGGCGAAGGCGGCUCUCUGGUACGUGACUGACGCUGAGACGCGAAAGCGUGGGGAGCGAACAGG